UACGUAGGGUGCAAGCGUUGUCCGGAAUUAUUGGGCGUAAAGAGCUCGUAGGCGGUUUGUCGCGUCUGCUGUGAAAACUCGGGGCUUAACUCCGGGCCUGCAGUGGGUACGGGCAGACUAGAGUGCGGGAGGGGAGACUGGAAUUCCUGGUGUAGCGGUGAAAUGCGCAGAUAUCAGGAGGAACACCGGUGGCGAAGGCGGGUCUCUGGGCCGUAACUGACGCUGAGGAGCGAAAGCGUGGGGAGCGAACAGG
rnacentral:rRNA from 1 species